rnacentral:misc_RNA from 1 species
GUAUAUGUUUUAUAGGCACAACAUUCUAUCGACAUACAUUGGGGGUAAAUGAAACAACAUAGACCUGAAAGGUCUACAAAAGGUGCACAGGUGGAGAUAUAAAGAUGACAAGGCGUGCACAUGCUCCCUAGAGAACCAGCAACAAACCCAUCAGGUUUAUUUCAAUAAUGAUCCUUCCGCAGGUUCACCUACGGAAA